CGUGGUGCCGAAGCCCGGGAACGCGUUGGCCGCCGCGAUGAAGGCGGAGUAGGUGUAGAAGCCAUUGGCGGGGCACGCGGCGUCGUUGCGGUGGAGGAGCAUCUGGUUGAAGAGGGACUCGGAGAUGAUGGACGCCACGCUGCCGCCGCCGCCGGAGCUCGGGGUGGGAGUCGGAGUGCUUGGGGUGCUGCCGCAGCUGCCGGUGCACUGGCUCUGGCAGCCGCUGCCGCAGUAAUCGGAGGUGGAGCCGCACCACCCGAACUUGCUGCAGCAGAGGCAGUUGGGGCAGAGCGCGCCGCCGGCCUGCGUGCCGCACUGCUCGGCGCGUGCGGACGACGCGGCGAACAAGGCCACCAUGGCCAGCACCGCCAGUGCUCUCAUCAUCGAUAUAUAUCGUACGUGAAAGAGAGAAGCAA
rnacentral:lncRNA from 1 species